rnacentral:rRNA from 1 species
AGAGUUUGAUCAUGGCUCAGGAUGAACGCUAGCUACAGGCUUAACACAUGCAAGUCGAGGGGCAUCGGGAAGUCAGCUUGCUGACUUUGCCGGCGACCGGCGCACGGGUGAGUAACACGUAUCCAACCUUCCGUUUACUCGGGGAUAGCCUUUCGAAAGAAAGAUUAAUACCCGAUAGUAUGGUAAGAUUGCAUGAUAUUACCAUUAAAGAUUCAUCGGUAAACGAUGGGGAUGCGUUCCAUUAGAUAGUAGGCGGGGUAACGGCCCACCUAGUCUUCGAUGGAUAGGGGUUCUGAGAGGAAGGUCCCCCACAUUGGAACUGAGACACGGUCCAAACUCCUACGGGAGGCAGCAGUGAGGAAUAUUGGUCAAUGGGCGAGAGCCUGAACCAGCCAAGUAGCGUGAAGGAUGAAGGUCCUACGGAUUGUAAACUUCUUUUAUACGGGAAUAAAGCGGACCACGUGUGGUCCUUUGCACGUACCGUAUGAAUAAGCAUCGGCUAACUCCGUGCCAGCAGCCGCGGUAAUACGGAGGAUGCGAGCGUUAUCCGGAUUUAUUGGGUUUAAAGGGAGCGCAGACGGGGCGUUAAGUCAGCUGUGAAAGUUUGGGGCUCAACCUUAAAAUUGCAGUUGAUACUGGCGUUCUUGAGUGCGGUUGAGGCAGGCGGAAUUCGUGGUGUAGCGGUGAAAUGCUUAGAUAUCACGAAGAACUCCGAUUGCGAAGGCAGCCUGCUAAGCCGUAACUGACGUUCAUGCUCGAAAGUGUGGGUAUCAAACAGGAUUAGAUACCCUGGUAGUCCACACGGUAAACGAUGAAUACUCGCUGUUGGCGAUAUACGGUCAGCGGCCAAGCGAAA